rnacentral:rRNA from 1 species
AUACGGAGGGAGCGAGCGUUAAUCGGAAUUACUGGGCGUAAAGCGCGCGUAGGCGGCUUUGUCAGUCGGAUGUGAAAGCCCUGGGCUCAACCUGGGAAUGGCAUUCGAAACUGCAGAGCUAGAGUAUGGUAGAGGGAAGUGGAAUUUCCGGUGUAGCGGUGAAAUGCGUAGAUAUCGGAAGGAACACCAGUGGCGAAGGCGACUUCCUGGGCCAAUACUGACGCUGAGGUGCGAAAGCGUGGGGAGCAAACAGGAUUAGAAACCCGGGUAGUCC